ACUUUGUCUAUGAUGUUCGCUCUGGCUUCGCAACCUCGGACCGGACCUGCGGGCGAAGUUGGGGAAACAGUAGCGAAACGUUUUAUCCGAAGAGACAUUUAACUGAAGAAUUCGACAGUAGCAGGUUCAGUCCUGGCACCUUCUUCCUCUUCUGAAGUCAGAUCCUGACCGAAACCAUGCUCAACCACCCCAAUCCGCGGGCCCAAUUUCUCCCACCCCCGCAGCGCCGCCGAUCUCGCCGGUACAGACGCAGGCAGCCCGAAUCAGUUCUGCUGAUCUCGCCGAUACGCGUGCGGCGGUGGCUCCAUGGGAUCGGGCGAGCGAAGCGAUGAAGAAUGGCCCGCAUUCAGAUGACGGGCUCAAGGUCAAGGCAUUCUGCCCUGGAUCACCAAAGAUAUGUUCCGUCGAAGGGAAUGCAGUAGUCAUACUGUACCUUGGGAUCUGUAGAAGAUUUAGGAGAUCAGGUACCCAAUUUGAAGUUUCUACCUGGGUCUCUUGUAUCAUGUGGCCGUGAAGAUCCUGAUCCAUGUCAAAUUCAGCCCGGUGUUGGAUAUGGUUGAUUGUCCGUGCAGGCUCAGAGAAGUGCGUAUCACUGAAUCAUACAGCCGCUCUCAAAGUCAUCUAACGGAGUACACAACAAGACAAAGGAACUACCCUGGCUGUCUGGUAACGACAUUGUUAUCCUAUCUUUUCGACUAAUCAGGAGCCAAGAUGGAGGGAGCAGGAGCUCAACCUCCAUGUUUUGAGUGGCUUUGUACCCGUGAGAACUGAGCGGUCUGUUCAUGGUCAGUCAUGGGAUGGAUUGCCCGCCAGUCGAUGCAGAUUGUAUAAUUCUUUUUCCCUUCGGUAAUACUGAUUGACCUGAAGGAAGAGAUUUCAUGUGCUAUGCUAGGUCGUCAACGGAUUCUUCCGUGAGCACCCCCUAAGGGCUUGUUCGUUUAAUCCCUUCGCCAAGGGGAUUGGAGAGGUUUGAAGGGGAUUGGGAAGGAAUUUGACUUAUAGGCGAUGUAAUACCUUACAAUACAAUUUAACCCCCCUCAAACCCAGUGCAACCGAACAAGGCCUAAGGCGUGGUACCAUCGGUACGGUUGGUGGACUCUCCAGUCGCUGAACUCGCUGCGUCGACAUGAGACUCGUUUCGGAUCCGAUGCUUGAAAAGCUUGUAACGAAGUUCAGGUAGAAACAAAGCAAAAGGGCUGUAGUGAUUCUGGAUGCUGUCCUUGUACCCACUACUGCUUGUACCGUAGCGCGAGAAUAUUCUUGUGAAGAAAAGCAAUUUCCUGUUUCUGGAUUU